UACGUAGGGUGCAAGCGUUGUCCGGAAUUAUUGGGCGUAAAGAGCUCGUAGGCGGUCUGUCACGUCGGAUGUGAAAACUCGGGGCUCAACCCCGAGCCUGCAUACGAUACGGGCAGACUUGAGUUCGGCAGGGGAGACUGGAAUUCCUGGUGUAGCGGUGAAAUGCGCAGAUAUCAGGAGGAACACCGGUGGCGAAGGCGGUUCUCUGGGCAUGUCCUGACGCUGAGGAGCGAAAGCGUGGGGAGCGAACAGG
rnacentral:rRNA from 1 species